rnacentral:rRNA from 1 species
CGCUGGCGGCGUGCCUAAUACAUGCAAGUCGAACGGUCUUUCUAUGGAAGCUUGCUUCCACUGAGAAGAUAGUGGCGAACGGGUGAGUAACACGUGGGUAACCUGCCCAUAAGAGGGGGAUAACAUCCGGAAACGGGUGCUAAUACCGCAUAGUUUUCUUGAUCGCAUGAUUGAGAAAGGAAAGACGGCCUUUGUGCUGUCGCUUAUGGAUGGACCCGCGGCGUAUUAGUUAGUUGGUGAGGUAAUGGCUCACCAAGACGAUGAUACGUAGCCAACCUGAGAGGGUGAUCGGCCACAUUGGGACUGAGACACGGCCCAAACUCCUACGGGAGGCAGCAGUAGGGAAUCUUCCGCAAUGGACGAAAGUCUGACGGAGCAACGCCGCGUGAGUGAAGAAGGUUUUCGGAAUCGUAAAACUCUGUUGUCAGAGAAGAACAAGUUGGAGAGUAACUGCUCCAGCCUUGACGGUAUCUGACCAGAAAGCCACGGCUAACUACGUGCCAGCAGCAGC